CUGAGGACAAACAGCGACCUGUAAGUCAGCUGUGUGUUAUUAAAAAUAUAUAAAACGUGAAUUUUACGACAACAACAACAACAAACCGCUCAUGUGACUCUACGGAAGCUUUGCGCGGACACGAUUCGUCGAGAUGGCGAUGGAGUUCUCUGUGGAGGAACUAGAAGAGCUCGAGGAUGAAAACAUGCAACUGAUUCCAGGUGCCAACACAUGCAGGAUCUCCUCAGGGUUUUUAAACAGCACCGGAACCAGAGGAGGCAGAGGUGGAAGUAAAAGCAGCAAAACCACAGCGGAAAAACCACUUUGUAAUUAAAAGUCAUUUAAAAAUACAGAAAUAUGAUCAGCAAAAUGUACUUUUAUUGCAAAAUGACAAUAUUAUUAUGUACUGUUAUUGAAUUAUUGUUAUCCAGGCAUUAAGAUGUAAACAGAGUUUUGAGGUGGAGCUGAUUUUAAUACCUCAUAUAAUGUUUUUAAUAUGAAUCUGCAGCUGUCAGAUAAAUGUAGUACAAAUACAGUAUUUUCUUCUGAAAUGUGUUG